rnacentral:rRNA from 1 species
CGUUCAGGCGGUUUGGCAAGUCGGGCAUGAAAUCUCCUGGCUCAACCAGGAGAGGCUGUCCGAUACUUCCAGACUUGAGGGCAGUAGAGGGUGGUGGAAUUCCGGGUGUAGUGGUGAAAUGCGUAGAUAUCCGGAGGAACACCUGUGGCGAAAGCGGCCACCUGGACUGCUCCUGACGCUGAAACGCGAAAGCUAGGGGAGCGAACG